CCCAGACUUCCUCCGUCCCAAAAUUCUUGUCUUAGUUUUGUCUAAAAAUGAAUGUAUUUAAAUAUUAAAACGUGACUAAAUACAUUCAUAUCUAGACAAUUUUAAGACAAGAAUUUUGAGACGGAAGGAGAAGUUA
rfam:Hordeum vulgare subsp. vulgare, WGS project CAJW01000000 data, contig: morex_contig_281360